AGUGAACGCUGGCGGUAGGCCUAACACAUGCAAGUCGAACGGCAGCACAGUAAGAGCUUGCUCUUACGGGUGGCGAGUGGCGGACGGGUGAGGAAUACAUCGGAAUCUACUUUUUCGUGGGGGAUAACGUAGGGAAACUUACGCUAAUACCGCAUACGACCUACGGGUGAAAGCAGGGGAUCUUCGGACCUUGCGCGAUUGAAUGAGCCGAUGUCGGAUUAGCUAGUUGGCGGGGUAAAGGCCCACCAAGGCGACGAUCCGUAGCUGGUCUGAGAGGAUGAUCAGGCACACUGGAACUGAGACACGGUCCAGACUCCUACGGGAGGCAGCAGGUGGGAAUAUUUGACAAUGGGCGGAAGCCUGAUCCAGCCAUACCGGGGGGGUGAAGAAGGCCUUCGGGUUGUAAAGCCCUUUUGUUGGGAAAGAAAAGCAGCAGGUUAAUACCCCGCUGUUCUGACGGUACCCAAAGAAUAAGCACCGGCUAACUUCGUG
rnacentral:rRNA from 1 species